rnacentral:rRNA from 1 species
UACGUAGGUGGCAAGCGUUGUUCGGAAUUAUUGGGCGUAAAGGGCGCGUAGGCGGUUUGUUAAGUCGGCUGUGAAAGCCCGGGGCUCAACCCCGGAGGGUCAGCCGAUACUGGCAGACUAGAGUACGGAAGAGGUAGCUGGAAUUCCCGGUGUAGCGGUGAAAUGCGUAGAGAUCCGGAGGAACCCCAGAGGCGAAGGCGGCGCCCUGGCUCGCAACUGACGCUCAGACACGACAGCAUGGGGAGCGAACGGG